rnacentral:rRNA from 1 species
ACGUAGGGGGCAAGCGUUAUCCGGAAUUAUUGGGCGUAAAGAGUGCGUAGGUGGUUUUUUAAGCGUGAGGUGAAAGGCAAUAGCUUAACUAUUGUAAGCCUUGCGAACUGGAAGACUUGAGUGCAGGAGAGGAAAGUGGAAUUCCUAGUGUGUGAUUUUCAUGCGUAGAAAUGAGAAGGAAGAACGGAGGCGAGGGCGACAUACAGGACUGUAUCUCACACUGAUCCACGUAUUCGUGGCGUACACAAAG